AUGCAGGUAUAGUUGUGGUAGGCAAACACAUUUUAACCUAAAAUGAAAACUAUUAGAAUUGUUAUUAAAAUACAUUAAUAAAUACACCAUUGGCAGAAAGGGCAGAUGGUAGUUAUAGCCUGUGAGUCGUUAAUAUUAGAUAAAGGAAUAUAUACAAAGAGAACUUUAUUCUAAAGUUCUCUUGAUUUUCAUGAACGCAUGUGAUAAAUAUAAUUUGUGAAUAAUGGCCAAUUUUAAGAAUCGACAUAACAUUAAAUUCUGGAACUCUUAUGUAAUUUGUCAAAUGAUAAGCUCCUCUCUGGCUUUAAGUUUCAAAGGCUCAUGAAUGCUGGAAAUGUGAUGAGAAACGAGUUUUGAAACCAUCUUAAACCUCUUUAAUUAUAAAAAUAUCUUUUACUAGUAAAGAAGUAUUUUUACCAUAUGGAAAAAUUUGGCCUUAAUUUAAUAACUAUCUCCAUCUCAAAUAUAUUUUGUAAAUGCAGUCUUUUGGCUCCUGAAAUAAAUACACCUGUGUGUAUUUGUUUCACACACACACACACACACACACACACACACACACACACAAACUGAUCACCCUGUUUGUCAGCCUUUGCUUAAAAAUUAGGACAUACUGGAUUAAACUGUGAGUUAGUGGGGACCAAGUAAGGUCUCAAAGGCUAUUAUUAUUGCCCUAAUAUUCAUGUUCUUGGGGAGCUAACUCAAAUUAGAAAAUAUAUAAUAGAUUGCAGAUUAGUCAUAGUUGACUAUAAUAUAAUUAAUUACUUUAAUCUGUUUAAUGAAGCAUUCAUCAGAAGGGGUGUGUGUUAGCUUUGGAGUCAGAGAAAAUGCAGAGCACAAAGGUGAACAUUGUCAAAGUGAACACUGUCAAUGCCCACCUAAAGUCUACUUUGAGGAGAGGGUGUUCAGUACCAAAGGCAUGUGAAUUCCUAUAUUUGUAAGUAGUAAGUAUUAUUUUUCUUAGGAGCAGAAUGUUUUCCUAGGAAUUAUUAGGUAAAUACUUUGAAAAUCUAUUUGGCAUGGAACAUGAGACCUCCAGGGGACAAACUUAAAAAGCAGAACUUUGCAAACAAUAGAAAGGGUUUAGCUAACUGCAGGCUUUGCUUUUCUAGGUAGGAAUACAAAACUGGAGCCAGAAUUUAGUUGUUCAAAAUAAUAAAAUCUAUUUGGGAUCUGUGUGGACAGAGAAUGAAGAAAAAUUGAAACAGAGAUAUACAGAUAAGGUUAUUGCCUUCCAUGGAGAAAUAUUAAGGGAAGAAAUAAGAUAUUUAAUUGGGCUUUUAAAAUUAACUGUAUGAUAAUCAUUUGGCUUUUUUCUUAUACAUUAUGAAGUCUGAAAUACUAAUGCUUCAGGCCUUAAAGUUUAAAGAGAAAGUCCAGAAACUUACGUCAUGUUGGGUUUGGGGUCACAUCUGAGGCUGUCUGUGGUGGUCCUGCCACAUUUAAGUCCCCUAGAGGCAGAUCUAGUCAGCCAUCUUAGCCUCAUGCUACUAAACACUCAAACCAUGUAACUAAUAAGCAUGGUUUUGAGUCAGUAUUCUGCCAUGAUACAUCUAAUUAUAAUCUGGUUUCUUAGAACUUGUUGGUCAUAAGUCAUGAGGAUAUUGUCCCUUGGGGAAAUACUUUUUAUUGUGAGUAUUCAUUUGACAUUAGGAUUGAAUCUACUAGUCUUUGUGGGCAUUACUGAUGUGAAUUUGUCAAGGUGAUGCCACACUGUGGGAACUUAUCCUUAAUCAGUGUUUUCUGAGCCCACUAUCCCUGCAGAGUAACACAGUAUAAACAUUACACCUGCUAUUUCUAUUUAAAUAUAAUAGCAUCCAAAAACAAAAUGUAAAAAUUGAAGUUUAAGACUAUAAUAGAGAGAAGUCUUGAUUUCCAAAAAUUGGCCUGUCAUCCCUAAUGGAGACCAAACAUGCAAUAAGAGGUCUGCCUUAUAAACACAUAGUUGGGUUUCAAGAGACAUAAUCUAAACUGGGCUACAGAAAACACAUAAAAAGUCACAUAUGGUUGUACCACAGAACAUUCCUAACUAUGCCAUUUUAAUCUUAAAAUCACAUAGAGCUACAUGCAGAGCAAAUAAUGCUGAAGUUGCAUUGAGAUGUUCUGGAUUGUUAGUGAUUUUAGUGGAUUUUGCUGAUAUUUUGCUGUUUAUGACUGACAUUUACAGAAGCUAGAGCCUAACACAGUCAUUCCAGAAGAAAAUUUCCCUGCAGUGAACAAAGCCCUUUUGUGCUUCUGGUAAAACAUGACUCCACUAAGGCAAUUAGCUGUUUUAAAAAUAAACUAAUUCAUUUUGGAGAUCUGAUGUAUAAUUAUGCAGCUGCAUGGGCUGGGACGGCAUGGUGACUGGCUACAGUGUUAGUAAAAUUAGAAAAAAAUGCAUCUCCAUGUUGACAAAGUACUGAUUUAUUGUCCAAUUGCCACCUUUGCCUUGUUUGGGGCUACAGAAUGAACUUCUUUCUACAAUAAUAAAAGUAAUUUCUGAUAAUGAUAGCAAGAUAUCUCCCGGGACAGGGGAAAUGGUAACCAAAAAUAUUUAUCCACAUUCUUGCUUCUAAGAAGCUUGGCACACUCUAUAAAAUUAACUCUUAAAUCUCUGUAAAAAUGUGACUCAAAGAAUUUAACUUAAUCACUUUAUACACAGAACAAUUCCCUACUAGUUCAAGAAACAGAAUAUUUGGUGACAUGGCACUUUGUGUGGGAUCAGGGGUCAGAAGAGUCCAUGACUCUUGUCCCAUUUGCAGAGAUUUGUUACUAAGGCAGUGGCUUCCCUGGGUGAAAAGAUCAAGGUCUGGUCAUUGACCACCACAAGAUCCUUCCAAGCUUGGUUAGGCAAAGGAUUCCUCCUGACCAUGACACUACAGCAGGCCUUGCUUGAAGCCUGAGCUGCCACAAAAUCCACAGGGUAAAUCCACACCAUAUAAUGAACUUUAGUUUAAAAUUCUAUUAACACUUACUGUGACUAUCUUUCAAUUACAUUUUAUGCUUCCCAAUAAGUGACAUCAGCAACAUCAUACAAGGUUUGAUGCUGUGUUUAUUAAGAAGUAGUUCACUAAUACCUUGAAACCAUAGAAUAUGAAUUUCAGCUCAAGAUAAACACAUAAAAUAAUCAUUAUCUAUUUCAAACAUGCUUUAAAUGCUCUGAGAAUAUAAAAUCUUGUUAAAAUUUGGCAAUAAACCUGCCUUACUCCCCUAAAGGAAAAAAUCAUAGUUCAAAGAUAAUAAAAUAUGUACAAAUAAAGACAUGUAUUAAAAUUUGA